rnacentral:misc_RNA from 1 species
CAGCAACCAAGUGGAUUCAUGUGGAUUCAUUUGACAAAACAGUGGAUUCUGAAGGAGGACAUUGUGCUGAUCAUAACGAGAAUUGUGAGAGAUGGGCUGCACUUGGGGAAUGCACCAAGAACCCAGAAUAUAUGGUUGGAAGUACAGACCUCCCAGGAAGCUGUAGAAAGAGCUGCAAAUCUUGUUAACUUGUUUCUUCCACUUGAAUCAGUUCAAAAACACACUAGUUCUUUCUCUUUUUCGUUUGUUUGUCUCGUGUUUUUUCAGAUGAUAUCAUCUGUCGGGUCGUGUUCUUGCUAUUUUACUCAAUUUUGCAAGUAAUCUUGUACUAUUUUCUUUCUUCUUUGUGGGUGUAUAUGUAAAACAUUACGAGACUCUAAUUAGG